rnacentral:snRNA from 1 species
AUCGCUUCUCGGCCUCUGGCUAAGAUCAAAGUGUAGUAUCUGUUCUUAUCAGCUUAAUAUCUGAUACGCCCCGCAUGCGGGGCCAGUAUAUUAAACUGAUUUUUGGAAAUAGAUGGAAGGUUAAGGGGCUUGCUCCACUUCUAUCACGGGUUGGCCCGGUAUUGCAGUACCGCCGGGAUCGGCCCACAACAA